CCCCGCCACCGCUGCGCCGUCUCCUCUCCCUCGGCUCCUCCACCACCACGGUGUCCUCUGCAUCGUCGUCCCCGCACCGUCCUCCUCCUCCGUGGCCAUGGUACCGGCGGGCGAGGAGGUUGCACGCGGGGCCAUGGCGAGGCGGCGGGCGGGCAAGCGUCGAGACGGCGGCGAGAUUCUUGAGGCGGAUGAUUCAGUGGCCCGGAUAUGCCGUCUCUGCUCGCCCAUUCCUCGCGACCCCUCCUGGACAUGGCGGCGCUGGAUCGAGGGUCUAUGACAAUGCCAUGACCUAAGCGCGCUGCUGCGGAGAUGAGUUUCCCGUGCCGGUAAUCUCGUAGCUCAGAUUGCAGCCUAGGGAGAUGGCCGGUCGUCCAGCAUUCGGUCCAGAAUUUUACAAGCAGCCUUGUCCAGGGAGGUCGAGCCAGCAGCUCCAUGCUUGAUGAUGAUGCAUCGGCUGAUCGGGAGCUCGACUACAGCAACAAACCAUGGAGGAUUUCGGGCUACUUGAGCAUUAGGCAGCAAGCCAUGUGGAACUGACAUGGAGUUUGGGAAAGGUCUGCAUCCAGGUGAAAUGGUGAAUUAAAAACACGAGCACUCGUACUGCUUCAAACAUGCAUGUCUAUCUCUACAGAGAUUUGGUAUGAAUAUAAUUAAAAGCAUUUGUUUGGACUUCUUGGACUAUCUGCAUUUUUUGGUGAAUCUAACAGUUUGUUCUGAAUUAUUCUAUUUUGUUUAUCUGAGCAAAUCAUUCUAUGACUAGCUGAAGUUUCAGGUGCUAAUCCUACAUUUAAAAGACCAUCCAACUUAGUGUUGGGUGACAUGUAGGUGAUAGCUGCAACAAAUCGUAUGGGCAUUCUUCAUCUUGUUUUGUUGUGUUUGGAUCAGCUGAAAAAUAGUGAGUUUCCGUUUCACAUUAGAUAAUAGUUCAAUCUGGCUUGACAUUUCUUUUCUAAUCAUAUUGCGUUCUUUAAUUUUAUAGGAAAUGCUCCACUGAAAAAGACAUCUUAGUAUUGUGUUGUCUAACUAGCUAUACACUUUUCCAGGUUAAAAAUGAGUGUUGUGGUACUGGCCUCGUUACAUGGUUGACUGUUGAUAAUAUCUUAUGCAUGUUACCAUGCUUUCAUGUUCAGUUUGCAGGCUUCUCCAAGUGAUACCAGUUAGGUGAAUGAAUAUGCAUAUGCAUCGAGGGCUCAUAUACUGGUGUUACAAGUUUCCUAACAUUGAGUAAGUUGGCCUAGAAGGAAGAUUGCUCCAAGAGUGAGAGCACCUAUUAUCAUUGGUUCAGAGGCUGAAGAUCCGUGGAAGAAGGAAUUGAGGACCAUUAUUCCUGCUCAGGAGAAAUAAACCAUCAUACAAACAACUAUAGGGAAUUUAUAUGAACGAUUGAAUGUAGAUAUGGUUUAGCCGAGGAUAUCAUGAGAUCUGUGAGGACAGAUCUAUCCCCUAAUGAGCUUUACAGUCGGUAGGCUAUAUAUGUUGCAGCAGCUGAUGCAUUCAAACCAAAUUAUUCGGUAUUUCUUUUUUGUGCUAACUGCAUGUUCUUUUCUUGUCUCUAAGAAAAUUGAUAAUUGACAGUGUUACUUUUGUAUAAUUGGCCCGGUUGAUGUCAUGAUUUAGUUGUUCUAUUUCCUGGCACUAUUUUAUUUCUGUUGUCACCUCAUGAUGGCUAGAAUAUGGCACACCCGUGAUUCGGGUAUUUGUUCUGAAAUUGGUUGUUUUUUCAUUAAACUGUGUUGUCAACUUACUUAAAAUUUGUUUCUUCAAAUAUUUGUUUGUACUCGUCAGUUUUUGGCACAUUUGUAUUGUCUAUAAGGUAUAAUUCUAGCUAUUAAUCAUGGAAGAAUAAUUUUAAAAAAUAAUUAUCAUAGUAAAUGAUGCAGCUACCUUCUCCAUGCCUUAUAUUAGGAUAUUUGACUACUCCUCCAGCAAACAAUACCAUUGCACAACACACUCACAAUUUAUUUUGAACCACUAGGGAGAGGGACUCCAUCAGGUUCAUCCUUGUUGUACUGGACUGUUCCAGAUGAUAAUCGUCUGUAGUUUGAAGUUACUGAUUUUCAUUUCUGCUCUUUCUACCACCUUGCUCUCUGAAUCUGA